rnacentral:rRNA from 1 species
UCCCAGUUCGAAUUGAAGGCUGAAAUUCGCCUUCCAUGAAGUCGGAAUUGCUAGUAAUGGCAGGUCAGCAUACUGCCGUGAAUACGUUCCCGGGCCUUGUACACACCGCCCGUCACACCAUGAGAGUUGGAGAUACCCGAAGCCUGUGAGCUAACUUUUAGAGGCAGCAGUCGAAGGUAGAAUCAAUGAUUGGGGUGAAGUCGUAACAAGGUAUC